UACAGAGGAGCCAAGCGUUGUCCGGAUUGACUGGGCGUAAAGCGCACGCAGGCGGAACGGCGCGUGGGGUGUGAAAGCUGGCGGCUUAACUGCCAGUCGCCAUCCCAUACGGCCAUUCUGGAGCCUUGCAGAGGGCAGUGGAAUUGCCGGUGUAGUGGUGAAAUGCGUAGAGAUCGGCAGGAACACCCAGGGGGAAACCAGCUGCCUGGGCAAGCGCUGACGCUGAGGUGCGAGAGCGUGGGGAGCGAACAGG
rnacentral:rRNA from 1 species